AUCUCCUAUAGUUGGACAUUAUUAUGUCAGACUGUCAAGGGGGAUGUAUUGGUUCCCGGAGCUGGGAAAUGGGUCUUCUGGAUGAUGACUUGCAGUUUACUCACACAGGAUUUCACUGGAGAAUAAUGAAGGAGAUGGGAAAGGGUAGCAAAAGAAGAUUGGAAACUCUAUAGACUUCAGUUAGUUUGGUUCUGUGAGGAGAAAUUUGUGCCUGAGAUCAAAGAUGACCCUUUCUCCAUUUCUUCCUCCCCCUUUUUUUCUUUUCAGCUUCCAGACAAAUCUUCAAGAUAUGACCUAUUCUUUGCCCUUUGAAGGCUGUGGCAAUGAGCUCAGCCAGAAUGACCUUUCCCAGCCUCCGAAACUUUCUCACAGGGAAGCAGAAAUCAACCCAAGGGACCAUCUUAGCCCCAGCGUAGCAACUUACAUGCUCCAAAAUCAGAAACAAUCACUCAACAGCUCACUUAUUAGCAGGAGAGCACUAGGGGUCAACAGUGAUGUAAGACUCCUGGGGCUUCCUUCCUCCUCCUCCUCACACCCACCUCCCCCCUUUGCCUCAUUCUUUUAAGCUGCUCAAGAACUUGCAGUUCCAUUAUUUACUUUCCACAUACUUAUAUAUGCUCAGGGACAGGCAGGAUGCUUAGUAAAAUGGUGCGACCUAACUGGGGAUUCAUGGUUUUCAAGUGAAGAACUGCAACAAUACUGUAGGGAUCAAGGGAAGCUUCUAAAAACUGUAGAAGGGAACUCACGUCAUGCAACAGCUGUGUUAUUCAGCAACAGGAACAUAUUAGGAGCAAACAUGGUAGUGGUAAUAGUCCAAACUGCUCAUAGCAUAUCAUUGACUGCUCAUUUCUCCAACUUCUUGCUAGAGGAGAUGCUGCAAAGUACUUAUAGAACAGCUGGACUUCCUGUGUGCAGGCACAAUGGAAACAGAGAGAAAUAAGGGAUUUGGAGUUCAGAUAGCUUUUCAAAAAGUCCUCGCUCCAUAUAUGAUCUGAAGAAGAACCAUGAAGGGCAAAAUUUAGUGAAGGAAAACAAAAAAAGGGAAAAGCUAAAGGUAGAGGUGUGUUUAGUCUAGGAGAAAAACAUCAAGAGAUUUAUUGUAUAGUGCUGAGAAGUUUAAAUAACAAAAACGUCUUUAGUAUUGAGCGUUAGUUGGUUUGUCUCAGCUGCUUCAUAAAUUACAUUUCCUUCCUGAAGAUACUAACCUGGUCUUUAGAUACAGAAAUUAAGAUAUACUGUAAAUAAAUACCUUUUGUUCUCAAUGAACUUUUAACAUAACACAUGCAUAAUUUGCAUACAGUUUACUUAAAUGUCAUUUGCACAGGGUGUGCAAACCAAGGUAGUUUCAGAACGUCAAAAUUCAUCACAUAACAUUCAGCAUGAAAAUAAGUUGGCUGUUCAUUUACUUCUAUUGUAUAGGAAAGGACAGUCCUUGUGAACAGAGCUUUGCAGAGCUUUUGCUUGGUUGGAAAGGAAGCUAUCGUCUUUCUUGUCUGUGUGGCAUUGAGGUGAGCCUCAAAUUGGAAAUCAAAAGGAUUUAAAUGUUCAGAAUCAGUAUCAUGGCUAAAUAGUAUCCCAUCCCAUAGGACUAAGUGUAAACUAAUGUGCCUGCUCUUUUAUCCCUGCAUACAAUUUGAUAAUUAAUGAUGAUUUUAGAUCAGUUUUUAAAAUUUGGAAAUUGUCAAUAAAUUGUAUUACAUGUUAAAACAUUUUUAGGAGCCAUAGAUUGGAUUCAAAACAUGGAAAAGUAAAGGACUGCACACUAUUGAAAGGAAUAUUACAAAGCUUUCCCCAAGCUGACUGGAAAUUACAGAGGGUAAAUGUGGCAGGCCUGAAGGCCCAACGCAAAAGAUGGCUUCCAGGCCUGACAUCCAGUUUAUUUGGUUGGAAAUGCUUGUCGCUGUGACCCAUCAUGUCAACCUUGACUCUUGGUUAUGGCAAGAAUACUCCCUGUAACUUUAUUGGUAACAUUUUCACAGGUAACGUGCAAAUACUUUCUUCCUAAGGCUGAAGGAGUGUGUCCCAAGGUCACCAGCCAGUUUGUGUGCUUAAGGCAGGGCUAGAACUGGAAAAUCCCAGUUUUUAAUUCAGGAUUUUUAUCCACUACAUCAAACAAGUCUCUGGAAAAAUUAUAGUCUAAAGCACUAAAAAGUCUUUAAACUGCCUAUUUUUGAAAAUAGCUUCAUACUGAACCCUAGCUUCAGUAUGUUGUUGUAUGCAAAACUGUUGAAUGAUAAAAUUAUAGAAAAAUACACUUAAGAAAGAGGGGCAAGUACGCUCAAAUACACUGUAUUUUUUUCUGAAUCAAGUCUGUUGUUAAUCAAAGCCAUUCAUUACAUAUUUAUUUAAAUAAAUAAAUAAUUCAUCAAGUAAAAGCUAGUAUUAUGGAAUUUUAAAAGCCUAUUGAUCAAGCUUAAUUAUGGUCAACAUUUUUAAAUGAAAAAAUGAAGGGCUAAAAUGGGGUUUACGCAUGUUAUUAGCCAAUAAAUAAUAUUGGGGGUUUUGAGAGCAUAUUUCUUGUUCUACAGCCGUGAUGAGAAUUUCAGAUCCAAUCCUAAAAGAUUAGCUACACAACAGCCAGUUAUGGAAAUGGCUCACACUAAGAUGGAAUUGUUUAAUCCUUGAUUUGUGAUAAAUUAGAAUGGCUAGGUUCACACAAUAUAUAAGGCUACAAACUAGCUUACAGAUGACAAUGGGCUUCUUCUGUAUAGCUGGGUUUUAGAAAGGUGCGUCAGUACUAUCAGUGGUAUAGGAAUUGUUUUGAGAAAAGAAAUAAAUAGUUGUUUUUUCUCUGCACUGCCUCCGUUUCACUUAACCACUUAAGAGCAACUGGUUGAUUAGAGUCGCCACUAGAAGAAGUGCAGCAGGGGAUAAAGAAAUGGAUGGAGAGAAGCAGUGGUGAAAUCCAAACUUUUUUACUACCGGUUCUGUGGGCUUGGUGUGGCUUGGUGAGUGUGGCUUGGUGGAUAUGGCAGGGGAAGGAUACUGCAAAAUCCCCAUUCCCUCCCCACUCCUGGGGGAAGGAUAUUACAAAAUCUCCAUUCCCACCCCACUCGGGCCAGCCAGAGGUGGCAUUUGCUGGUUCUCUGAACUGCUCAAAAUUUCUGCUACCGGUUUUCCAGAACCUAUCAGAACCUGCUGGAUUUCACACCUGGAGAGAAGCCUAUGGAAUUUGGCCGCUGCCAAACCUAUGGAAUUGGCCGCUGCCAAUACUGCACUUUCAGGCAGACCUACAAAUCCUGUUAUUAGGAUAUUGCUGAGACAGCAGAAAGGGAAUGCAAUCCCUAGGAUACUAUAGGAGAAGAAAGCUGCAACAAUAAGUGGAUGGCUUUUCAAGCACAAGAUUUCUUAAUUAAUGUUAUUCUCAAAAUUACUGCUCAAGACAUGAAUGGAGAGAAUACACCAAGCAAGAAGAAGAUACAGAACUUUCAGAUCUAAUGAAUCUACAAAGAGUUAAAGCAGCCAAGAGGUAUUGAUCUACCUUGAAGAAUAUACAUAAUAUACAUAAUGCACAGAGACUCCUAAUGGCACUCUCACUACAGAAAUGAGUAUUCUGAAAUUUCCAGCUUAAUAAAACUAAUCCU